UCACUGAAACUCCUGGGUUCAAGUGAUUCUUCUGCCUCAAUCUCCAGAGUAGCUGGGAUUACAGGCACGUGCUACCACACCUGGCUAAUUUUUGUAUUUUUAGUGUGUAUGGGGGUGGUUUCACCAUGUUGGCAAAACUGGUCUUGAACUCCUGACCUCAGGUGACCUGCCGGCCUCUGCCUCCCAAAAUGCUGGGAUUACAGGUGGGAGCCCCAUGCCUGGCCAUGCAUUUGGUUUUGAGAGCAGCAGAGUGGCCAUCUGUUCUCACUGCCCACCUGCUCUGGGUGGGGUUUGCUUGCUCCCUUACUGCCCUAGCCUCCCAUGGGACCCUGCAAGUGCUGGGGCCUCAGACGCAGUUGCUCACUGUCACAACAGCCAUCCCAUCCGUUCCAGGGCUAUAAAUAUGCUGAUGACUCUAUUUUUUUCCCCAGAGCUGUAAUAUCCAGUGGCCUCCACGAGUCACCCACCAGGAUGGCUGAUGAGCUCCAAAAGCAUCAACAUUGUCCCAAACUGAGCCCUCUGCCCCACAGCAGAACCCCUCCCCAGAGCCUCCUGUUCUCACUCUAUGGCAAUUCCCUCUUCCCAGCACUGGUGACAAGAGUGGUGUCCCCUCCACCCUCACCCAGCCUCAUAGGCCCCCCGCUACCUCUGCCACCCCUGCCUGGCCGGGAUGUUGGUAAUGGCCCCUUCCCAGCAGGUCCCCCUGCCCUUUGUCUUACCCCUUUCAGCCUGUUCUUUACUAAGAAGCCACUACGAUGCUGGUGACAAAGUGGGUCAGACAUGCCCCAACCUCACGCAGUGUCAAAGUCUAACCACGUCCUAAAAACUGUCUGGUUUGGUUCCCAGCUCCUUCUCUGAUCUCACCUCUAUUCAGAACCACCAUCCCCACAAGGGCCUCUCUCAGUCACCCCAUCCUCUGGCUCACCCCCAAGGCCACUGCUUUCUGGGUGGACUGUCCACAGCAAGGAUGGUUCUACCUUGCACCUGCACUGCCCGAGGGCCUACCAGCCAUGGCCUGGUGGUGCCUGAAAGCCGUGGCCACAGCAUCCUCUCUCAGCACCCUGCUCAUGGCUCUCAACAAGCUCCCCAGGGCUCUCCGCGUGGCUUCGCAUGGCUCCCCACGUGCUCCUUUCAUGAUCUGAGGAGCAGGAGAAGCCGGGUGUCCCCCGGGACUCAUUCAGGGGUAAGCACACACCCUCUAGCACUUUUCUUUCCUUGUUUCCCCUCUCUCCUUCGCCUCCUGGAAAUGCCUCCCCAGGAAACCACUCAAUCCUCGUCCCAGGGCCAUAGCCUCCUUUUCGAUGCUGUUGUCACUCUUUAAAAUAAGACCGAUUUCACUGAUUCAUUGUGUUCAUUGUACCUCUCUCCUACCAGAAUGUGACAUGGACGGUAAUGUCAGCUUUCUUCACUCCUGGUUAAGCAGACUUGAGAAAAGGGCCUGGCAUACUACAGUAGGCAUUCAGUAAAUGCUUUGGGAAUCCUUUAUCCUCAAAAACUGGGCUAUCUUUUUUAAAACAGAGACAAUGUUGCAGAAUCUUGGAGUUAGAAAAGAUCUCAGAUGAACUGAGUUUUCUCCUCGGGGCAGAAACCCUGGGACGCCAUUCUGAACUGACUGUCAAUCUUUUCUCCUGUCCUUGAGCUGUUUUAAUGACAGAUAUUUGUGGCUCCACACAGCCAGGCCCUCUGUUAGAGAACUUGGUGAGCUCAGCUCAACAAAUGUUGCUCUGAGAACAUUGACCCCCAGGUGGGGAGGCUGGCUGCACCUGCAGCUCCUGCAGGGCCAGCUCAGACCUCUUCCUGCUAUCCAGGGGACUGUAGUGGCAUAGGAGGGCCUUGCUGGGGCUCAGGGGAAGGGGUUCCAGCUCCACUGAGGAGGCCUCUGGAAGCACCUUGCUGUGGAUUUGAUAAGUUCUCGAGCAGCCUGAUUACUACUGGUCGUGAGCCAGGGACACCAAGAUGGACAGCCUGGGGACAAAGCCGACACUGCAGGACACCAAGUCAGUGUGUGGGGGACCCUGUAGAUACGUGUCCAGACGAUCACAGAAUUUCUGAUGACACCACUGCCACAUGGAAUGGAGGUGGCCUCCCCAGGGUGCCCCUACACUCAUGGCAAUGAAUCCUGGCUCUUAUUUACCCUUUUGGAUUUUAUCAGCAAGUGGGCCCCCUCCAUUUUUGUUUGGAACCUGCCCGAAAGCAGCGUGGAGGAGAGAAGGAGCUGUUUGAUUUCCAUUGUUGCGGCUUUCUUGGAAUGUGCGACCCAGGCCGGCGUCUCCUGGUUAGGAAAAUGUUCUGAACUUGCCUGGGGUGAGACUGGAGCUCAUUUCCUGGUUGAGGUCUUAAAUCCUGACCAGAGUCAAGUGUAUCAGAUUCUCGCAGUGCCAAGGAUCAGUGUCUGGUGGAGACAGCAGAUUCUCCAAGGUCAGAUAAGUGCAGAAACAGCUGACACGUCUUUCCCUAGCUGGAGCAGAAACAGCUCCAUUCAGUGCCUGAACAAUUAACUCAAUUAAAGAAUGUGCAGCUUCCCAAAGACGCGCCAACUCUGAGUGCGCGUGCGCCUGCGUUUCCUGUCCCCAGCUUCUCAGCACCUCACAGAUACCUCAAAAGCAACGUAUCUCCAAAGUCCUCUUGGAAACUCCGUCUAGAAGUCAGGGGCUCGAGAACGAGUGGGUGUUCUUCCCACCGCUUGGUAUCCUACCAACACCAACUCUGGCCAUCUUUCAAGUAGGGGGAGGACAUUUUUUGGGGGGUCCCAGACUCCUUUGAGAAUUAAAAUCUACCCCAGGAGGAAAAUAAUAUCUGCACAUAUCAAAAUCUGCAUAGAUUUUCAGGGCUUUUUCACACACCUACUCCAAGCCCAGUUAAGAUUUCUAGACUCAAAUCAGUUCCGCUGUCCCAUUUCCUCUGCCAUGACCCUAUGUGCAGCCCCACACGUCACUUAUGUCUAGUCCAGAGGGUCAACAUUGACUUCCCAGCUUCUGGCAGAAUUUCCUUCCCCAUUCACCAUGUGGGCCGGAGGGGUCUCCAUACUCCUAAGGGCUCACCUGUGGCCUUUAGAAGAAAGUCCGAACACUAGCUUGGCACUGGAGGUCGGAGGAAUCUUCCCCCCUUGCUCCACCCCAGGAAAGACCUGUGUUUCCCUGAGCAAGCCUUUCUCCCAUGGCCUUUCAGUUUCUCCCAGUAUGUCCUAUGUACUAUCGUGGAGGAUUUGCACUGCAGUGUAGGCCCCUGAGGUCCACGCCGGAGUGCCCUGCGUCCAGCCCCCUCUGCGUGGUCCACUCAGCUCGGUGGCGUCAGGGGUGACUCAGCAUUUGUCACUUUCCCUUUACUGGGAGACUCCUCAGUCAGAAUCUGGGUCUUCAUCUGUAAACCCGCCAGGACAGCAGCAGCCCCUGAUUUUGACAUAGGAGGAGAUUAGGACUGCAGCUUGGAGGGAGGUGGUGAUCCGCGGAGCGGCUUCCUUCUUUUGAAGCUUUUAUAGCAAGCAUGAUGUUCCGACUUAUAUUAAAUUUGUAUGUGGGGUGGUUCAGUAUGACUUUGGAGAAGAUCCCACAUUGCACAAGGUGGGAGCUGAAGCCCCAAUCCCCACCCUGCAGCUGUAGCACACAGCCUCGCAGUUAAGCGCACAGCCACAUGUAUGUAAUAUCUGCUGUGUAACAGGUGCCUGUUGAAUAUUUGUUGGAUGAAUAGAUGAGUGACCCUAGAAGAACAUAGUGCAGACCUAUGAGUAGAAGAAGCAGAGGACCCAGGAGUUUCCUGGAAGUUAGGGGUUCCAGCCGACCUCUGUCCACAGGCAUGUGAUCUCUCUCUCUCUCUCUCUUACACAUACACACACACCACACACACACACACACACAUACACACCACACACACACACACACAUACACACCACACACACACACACACACCCAUGAGCCUCCCCACUGUCUGGAAUAAUGAUUCACAGGUUAUGCCACAUCUAACUUUUCCACUUCUUUGCACUCACUUUUUCACUCCAUUUCUAGGCACACAGCAAUCUCCGUCUCCUGCAAUGACCUGUGCACCAGACCUCACCUUAACCACCUGCCAUCUGCACUCGGCAGCCCCGGUACCCUGAGGACAAUUGCUCCGAGCAUCUCUUGUUCACUCUCCAGCUUUUGCUUGGCUCCACCCUCUGUGGAAACAGCUGGCCCCUUGACUGGCAGAUGCAGGGAACUUUCUGAGUCCAGGGCCUUCAACCUUGUGUCUUCAGGAGCCUCUGCAAAGCUGUCUGCCACCGAGGUGGGCCCUGUCCCUCCACUCCCUGUUUUCUUCCUUCUCUGCUCCUCUGCAUCACCCUCUCAACUCACUCAGCAAAAGAAAGGAAGCCUUUCAUUUUCACUCUUUGAAAUCUUUCUUCGAACACUUCAUAUUCAAUCACUUCUCGUCCUUGGAUAGAGUUUUGUGUUGUUUUAAGAACAGUGUUUUCCAGUGGUGGGAUCUAUACCUCCAGCCAGGUCACGCCUCUGUGGCCCAGUCUCCUUUUGCCAGCCAUCUAACUGUCAUGUAUAAAUGCCUGGCAGCUGCUUAUGUCUGUAUGUCCAGCUGUGUGUUCUGCAGUCGGUUACUUACAGGGUCAGAUUGUACUUCUGCCUAUUACUUCAAAUUGUCUCUUUCUUGCAAGCAUCCGGGGGUGUCUUGCCUCACAUGCAAACAAACACAGAACAAAACUAGAAAACCUCAAAGGAAUUUCUGCAUUGAAGAGAUUUUAAUGGCAAAAUAAUGAAGUUUACUUGUGAUUAAAAA